rnacentral:rRNA from 1 species
UACGGAGGGCGCAAGCGUUGUUCGGAAUCACUGGGCGUAAAGCGCGUGUAGGCGGCCGGGCAAGUCGGAUGUGAAAUCCCGAGGCUCAACCUCGGAACUGCACUCGAAACUGCUCGGCUCGAGUCCCGGAGAGGAUGGCGGAAUUCCCGGUGUAGGGGUGAAAUCCGUAGAUAUCGGGAGGAACACCAGUGGCGAAGGCGGCCAUCUGGACGGUGACUGACGCUGAGACGCGAAAGCGUGGGGAGCAAACAGG